rnacentral:rRNA from 1 species
AGAGUUUGAUCAUGGCUCAGGACGAACGCUGGCGGCGCGCCUAACACAUGCAAGUCGAACGAGAGAUGAGGAGCUUGCNCUUCAAAUCGAGUGGCGAACGGGUGAGUAACGCGUGAGGAACCUGCCUCAAAGAGGGGGACAACAGUUGGAAACGACUGCUAAUACCGCAUAAGCCCACGGCUCGGCAUCGAGCAGAGGGAAAAGGAGCAAUCCGCUUUGAGAUGGCCUCGCGUCCGAUUAGCUGGUUGGUGAGGUAACGGCCCACCAAGGCGACGAUCAGUAGGGGUUCUGAGAGGAAGGUCCCCCACAUUGGAACUGAGACACGGUCCAAACUCCUACGGGAGGCAGCA